UACCUACGGGGGGCAGCAGUGGGGGAUAUUGCACAAUGGGGGGAACCCUGAUGCAGCGACGCCGCGUGGGUGAAGAAGCGCCUCGGCGCGUAAAGCCCUGUCAGCAGGGAAGAAAAUGACGGUACCUGAAGAAGAAGCCCCGGCUAACUACGUGCCAGCAGCCGCGGUAAUACGUAGGGGGCAAGCGUUAUCCGGAUUUACUGGGUGUAAAGGGAGCGCAGACGGCAGUGCAAGUCUGGAGUGAAAGCCCGUGGCUUAACCACGGGACUGCUCUGGAAACUGUGCAGCUAGAGUGCAGGAGAGGC
rnacentral:rRNA from 1 species